rnacentral:lncRNA from 1 species
AUGGAAGUGCCGGACCGCGGUCGCUGCCUCCAUCCGUGCUGGCCUCGCUUGGUGUUGGCGGGAUCUCCUGCUCCUCCUCGCUCCCGGACCGGGCCUUCUCCUCACCUUCCUCGCUCUGUAGAUUCUGACCAGAGGGAAAACAACAAGGGCCGGCCGUGCAUGACUUCACGCCGGGAGCACCCAAGGAGCAGGAGGGCAGCCCACCAUGCCCGUGAGCCGCGCCUCGCCAGGCCCCAGGCCCGCGGUUGUGCUUUGCAAAGGCAGCAGCGCCGCUGGGACAGAGAGGAGAGGCCGGGAAAGCCAUGCGGCACCGGCAGCGCCCUCCGGCCCGCCCGGAGAGGGCCGCCAGGGAGCCGCGGGCAGCAGCGCUCCCUGCCCGGCCUCCGGAGCCCUGCCGCCCCCAUCCCCGGAGGUCCCGGCUCACCUCGGCCAGGACCGCCAGGGCCACCUCCAGCAGCUCCGCCUCGUUCAUGCAGUACAGCGCCGCCGGCCUGGGCAAUGCACAGAGGACGCUCAGCGCGGGCAGCGCUGGGCUCGCCCUCCCGCUGGCCUCUCCCCCGCCCCAGCGGCGCUACCUGCGCCCCGCCGCCGCCCGCCGCCGCCCGGCGCUGGGGGCCGGGGCCGCCGCCGCCCGCCCGUCCCCCGCCGCCCCCAUCCAGGCCGGGAGCUGCCGCCGCCGAGCCCCAGCCGCCAUGCCCACGCGGGGCGGUGCCGCCGGGGCGCCUUCCGCCGUCAUACCGGGGCUGCUUCCCGCCCGACCGGGACACAGGGGAGCUGGAAAAGCAGCCCCAGGCCGCCCUAAAACCCAAGUCACGACUAAGCCCCGUGUUUGAUCAGACAGGCAGGCAAUAUCGCGUUCCUCCAUACUCCGUCAAGGAGCAAACACGGCUCUGGGCCAGCUGCGGAGCAGACGGGGCGUUGGGAACGAGGCGUGCAGCCUCCGAGCCCCGGGGCAGCCUGGCGGCCCGGGCCCGGCGCCGCCCCGAGCUCUCGGUCGCGGAGCCGCCGUGCUGCCCCGGAACGCUCGGUUAUGGUACCGCCGUGCCGCCCCCGAGCGCUCCGUUACGGUGCCGCCGUGCCGCCCCCGAGCGCUCCGUUACGGUGCUGCCCCGGAACGCUCGGUUAUAG